rnacentral:lncRNA from 1 species
UUAAACGAAAAGAAAAAGGGACAAAUAUUUGGUAAUCUGUGUGUUUUCAUUAAUUUAUAAAUUUAUUGAACAAGUUUAUUCUUUUCAGUGUAUUAAUGUGUCUUGUUCUAAGCUUUGACAUCUAUGCAAAAGACAAGACAAAAGGCACAUGUGAAGCCUGCAUUUUUUUUAACUCUAUGGAAAAGACAUUGACAGGAGUUGCAACAAAGCGAGGUAAUCAAUUGUUUCUUUUGGUUCACAUUACUGUUACAAAUUUAUUAAUAAGCUUUCUACCGCACCUUAGUUCUUGGCUUGCUUUGGAUGGAUGCAAAACUUUGUCAACUCACUAUUGAAAUACAUAUUACAGAAUCUUGUAAUCUAUGUCUUCUACCUUUUGCACAUCAAUCGAGGCACAACUCAGGCCGAUCUCUACUUUCCGUCUCACUUAUCCAUUCUUUGGAAAUUGAAAUUUAAAAAUCAAAGGAGAAACAAGUUUCUCUAUUUCACUACUAGGCAUAACAUAUUGUAUCAACUUUUACCGAAUAUAACUUUUGUUCAUGUUGGACCUGGGCUAUUCUAACUAGUAUAUACAUAUGAAGUGUUGAGCAGGGAAUGAUGUAAACCAGGCAGGAUGCAAAAGUUCUUUUGGAUGUGACAAAAGAAAUGAUUGCUCAAAGCAUCCCCAGGAGUUUCUUCGCUUAUAACAUAAAUUGACAAGUAUGGUUGUUGUUACAAUUGAUUUGUGCUUGCUUAUCAUACUACUUUUUUAUCAACAUAACUUACAAUAUCUAUUCUGAUAAACCUUGGACCAAAACUCAAUGGAGUAAAAAUAAAAGAACGGAAUGUCAAUUAGUAUAUCGAUUUAAAUCUCCAUUUCCCCUACACUUUGGAGGUUCUUUUGCUUGUGUCUGUUUAUCUUGUUUUUAGAGUAUUUAGACUAUGAUUCUCCUCCUUUCUUAUGUCUUUAUUGUUGAUGUUGUUAGACUCGAAGAGGUGAUGUUUGGGAGGCUGCUGACCUGAUGCAAUACUUCAUUUGUAAUUUAUAAUGUUUGUCACUAGUUAUUUUUUAUGAAAUUUGAUUCAUGUUAUUAUUUUAUUAAUCCUAUAAU